UCUGAAAAGCUGUGACUGGAAAUUAAAAAGUAUAUAUUCAAAUUAUUGGAAGUGACAAACUGAUGGUAAUCUGACCAGAAACAAAAGAAAAAGAGUCGUGGACAAAAAGCAAAUCUUUAUGAGAUAUGUAAUAUUCAAUAUAUGAUUGAAAAUGACUCAUUCCAUCAGAGGUGUAAGUAAAACCUGCCAGUUUGGCUACGUUGUAAGGUGCUCUGCAGUAGCACAUGUCCACUACUGAGGUUUUCUUAGUUGCUUGCCAGAUCACAUUGGCUGCAGUGGCAUUGUGUGAAGUGAGUUCUGCUUUAGAUGAACAAUCAAUUGAUCUCUGUUUUGUAUGUGUGACCUAUUAAAGUUUUGAUAGAAAAUCAAUGUCCUGCCAGUCCCAAAUUAUGUCAGCCAUCCACAGGGAUGACAGUUACCAAAGCUACUCCUAUUUCUCUGAGCAGCAGCUUUAGCAAAGUGAAAGGAAUAUCAUAAAGAAGCCACAAGGCAGCAGGAGCCUCUCCUACUCUUCUUUCCUGGUCACCAUGACACAUCAUCUCAGGAUUCUGUCUAAGAUUUGAGAGACCCGAAGAUGCCUCUUUUGUGGACAAGGGCACUUACGACUGAAUGAGAGCUGAUGCUUUUCCUGUGUGCCAAGGGAAAGCCCUGCAGUUGCAGAGCUGGUCAGUUUUAAGGGUCAUCCUCUCCCGUAGACACCAUGAGACGCAUUGCUACUGGAAGGUGGUCAGUCAGGCCUGCCAGCUGGGUAAUAAAGCUGAACUCUUCCACUUCCUGCACAAGGAGAACAAAGGGUUUCAGUCCCAAGUACCCCGGAGCUGGAGUGUGAAAGCCCCAUCCCUGUGUUGGUUGCUUGUGUGCUGCUGGCCCAGCUGCAGUGGAGGAGCACCAAGAGCAGGGACUGCAAGGGAGCCACGAAGCAAAACUCCCUCAUCCCACACCUCGAGGGACCAGCUCUCAUUCUGGCCAGAAGCACCUGAGCUAAGGAAGACUUUUCUCAGUGGUAUUGAAGCCUUUAGCCCAGAACUGUGAGCCCCUGUCCAGCAGAGGAGACUGGGAAAAAUUGCAUUUAAAUUUUUUCUUAGCUGUGCUGGCAUGAGCUCUCCUAGGCCUGCCUCUGGUCAGGGUUCAGAGAUAAAACUGGCUUUAUUCCAGGGCUUAACUUAAAGAUGACAAUCAUCUCUGUGAGAUGGGAUUAUUUGUGUGCAUUUCUUGAAGCCUUUCUGAGCAGAAGCUUGUGUGGCUUCCAGGACUGUGGCAGGGCUCAGGUUGUUACAGCUAGCGAAUUAAUUAUUUGAUCAUUAUAAAUUACUUGCUCAUUACUUGUACCAAGUCUGUUGUUCUAGUUUGAUGCUUUACAUACUCUGUGUUUAACAUAAAAGACAUAGUUAAGAACAAGUUGUUCUGCUGCUUUUAUGGCCUAUUUAUUUUAGUAAUGUGAAAUACCUAAUUUUUAUUUAUAAACCAGAGAAGAGUGCUGAUGAAGAAAUAAUUCUCUGGAUAGCUGACAUUGCCAAUUUAAAUGUCUGUAAAGCUUUAUCAAGGUUUAUUAUGGAAAAAUUUGAGAAUGGAUCAAUUCUAGGCAGUACCCUGCUUUGCUGUGCGUGUGAACAACAUUUGCCAGCUAGAUAGUGCCCCACAGCCAUUGUGCCAUUUAACAUUUAAAUGUCUUUAAAGCCCAGAUUCCAUUAAUUGCUUUAAAUUUCCUGGAAUUUCCUUGCAAAUUCCCUGUUUGGUAGUCCUUUGCAGAGACAGCAGGACAGGCUCCCUCAGCCUCUCCUGGAAACCAUGGCUCUCCAUUACAUGGGCACCUCCACAGAAUGCACACAUACAGAGCCCUGUCUCCCUGCAGAGCCAGGGGGAUUUACAGUCUCGUGGAGGGUUAUUUCAUCAGUGCAAAAGAACUACAACACAUUGUAAAAAUUGAAAGCAAACUUAGCAGGCAAGAAGCCCUGUGUAUAUUCUGCUCCCAGCACUCAAGGCUAUUUUUCAGUUGUCACAGCCAGAGGUGCUGUGCAUGCCCAGAGGUAGCAGAAGUAAUAUUCUUAAUUUAUUAUUGAUUAUUUGAUGGCUCCCUAUUUAAUCAGUCAUGUAUUUGUCAGUGGAACAUAAUUGCUGAACACCAGUAACUCUUCAGGGAAUAAAACAUAAUACCCCAAAAGGAAUUUUGUGACACAUUGCCUGAAAAGGCCACUUUAAAACACAGGGUUUGUUUGGGCUUUGGUGUGGUUUGGUUUUCUUAGGGGAUGAAGGGAGUUAGGUUUUGUUUUGGUGUUUUGUUUUUUUUAAAUGCUUCAAACCUGCUCUUGGAGGCAUAAAAUAUAAUAUUAUACCCACAUAUAGAUUUGCAUUAGCAAACUUGAUUGUAGAGCCAAAUUACCUUAUUUUUGCUUUCCAGAAAUCCCUUUCACAUGUACUAAAGUUAUGUUUUUAAUAUGUGACUAGAAAUGUCUGGAAAAUUUGUAAUCUCUCAAAUGUGCAAAGCAGGAUUUGCUGUAAAAAAUUUUUAUUUUGGAUGUAAACUAAAGCCAAACCUGAUGCCUAGAAUUCAAUUCCUUUGUUCAAAACUGAAAGAAAACUUCAGGGUGUGGCCUCAAUACAUUCAAUGAAGUGUCCAGCUAUGCCAUGAAGUGUACUGUGCUUGGUGAGUAAUUACAUCAACCUCCUAUAGUGUACCAUUUCCAUUGGGUGUCAACAGAAACAUCUGCACUGACUUCUUAAUUUAAAUAACUUUACCUCUGUAGUAUAUUUUGGUAAUGCAUAGUUAGAACAUAUUUUAUAGUUAGUCAUUUAUUUAGCACAGUAAGCUUGCCUUCAUGGUAGAGAAGGUGACAAAAGGAUUGCCACAUUAAUUAAGUGCUGCUCUAAAAUUUACAAAGCUUAUUAAUUUCUCUCCACUGGCAUAUUAUUUAACAAACAGGUAUUCAAGAAAUUUAUCUUAAGACUUCUGUUAAUUAAGAUUUUUUUGUAUUCCUCAUAACUCCCCUAGCUCAAACCACAGACACCUGUUUCUCAAUAUCCAACACUCUUUAGAGGUGGUGCUGCACUAGUAUCACUGGAAGAUCCUGAGCCAUAUUUUUAGUUCUGUCUGCUGUGCAGUUUAAUUCCUGUCUGUAUUUGUGAGCUCCUGUUUUAAGUGUAUUGAACUCUGCAGUGAAGGGGUAACUCAGUAGUUGUUGGGCUGGGGGUGGUGUUUUAAAUUUUGUGGGGUUUUUAUUUGAGGAAAACUACAUUUCCUUUUUGCUGCCCUUUGCAGUGCUGUGACCUCAGAACUGGCUGCCUGCAGAGACUUUCAGAGGAGCUGUCCGUGCACUCUUUUUGGCAGUGCUUGGAGUUUCCUGUGCUAUGGGCCUGGCCAGGCAGGACCAGCUCUGGAGACAAACACACACUGCCUGCAGCUCUCUCAUCUUUCCACCCACUGAAGCCAACCCUAUUUGAGUUAGAGAGCCGGCCUCUUUUCCUGCCCUUUUUAUCCUCUUCCCCAGACACCCCUGGGUAAAAAUUUGAUUAUUUGUUUUGUUUUCAGUCCAUAAAAUACCUCUCAGUCUGAACAUCUGAAAUGUUAAACAGCAAGCAAUGAACUUGCUUUUUACAGAACUGUCUAAAAGAUGUGGAAAG